rnacentral:rRNA from 1 species
UGAGGAAUAUUGGUCAAUGGGGGCAACCCUGAACCAGCCAAGUCGCGUGAAGGAUGAAGGUCUUAUGGAUUGUAAACUUCUUUUAUACGGGAAUAAAGUGGGGGACGUGUCCCCCUUUGCAUGUACCGUAUGAAUAAGGAUCGGCUAACUCCGUGCCAGCAGCCGCGGUAAUACGGAGGAUCCGAGCGUUAUCCGGAUUUAUUGGGUUUAAAGGGUGCGCAGGCGGGAUGUUAAGUCGGCGGUGAAAUUUUGCAGCUCAACUGUAAAAGUGCCUUCGAUACUGGCCUCCUUGAGUGUGGAUGAAGUAGGCGGAAUUUGUGGUGUAGCGGUGAAAUGCUUAGAUAUCACGAGGAACUCCGAUUGCGCAGGCAGCUUACUAAACCACAACUGACGCUCAUGCACGAAGGCGUGGGGAUCAAACA